rnacentral:rRNA from 1 species
AUUGAACGCUGGCGGCAGGCCUAACACAUGCAAGUCGAGCGGCAGCGGAAGGAAGCUUGCUUCCUUGCCGGCGAGCGGCGGACGGGUGAGUAAGGUAUGGGGAUCUGGCCGAAGGCGGGGGAUAACCACUGGAAACGGUGGCUAAUACCGCAUAAUCUCUAAGGAGCAAAGUGGGGGACCGUUCAGGCCUCACACCUUCGGAUGAACCCAUAUGAGAUUAGCUAGUAGGUGGGGUAAUGGCUCACCUAGGCGACGAUCUCUAGCUGGUCUGAGAGGAUGAUCAGCCACACUGGGACUGAGACACGGCCCAGACUCCUACGGGAGGCAGCAGUGGGGAAUAUUGCACAAUGGGCGCAAGCCUGAUGCAGCCAUGCCGCGUGUAUGAAGAAGGCCUUCGGGUUGUAAAGUACUUACAGUCGUGAGGAAGGUGUUAAGGUUAAUAACCUUAGCAAUUGACGUUAGCGACAGAAGAAGCACCGGCUAACUCCGUGCCAGCCGCCGCGGUAA